GAUCACUUCAAGGGACCCGCCGCCUUUGCCAGUCUCCCAGCUUUCAAAGGCCUCUGUCCAGCAGUGGAUCAAACACCUAGUAACUCACCCAGGGGCAGAGGUAUUACAUGGAGGAUCUCGAGACAGACAUGGGAGUGGAUGAUAAGAACCAAUGAGGCGCAUUUUCCAUCGUGAGGAUGUUACAUACACAUCACCAGUAUAUGCUUCAGCCACGAAUGUAUAUCCUUUCUACAGGAAAAAAGAAUUACACAGAAAGCUUAUGACCACCACCAAGAGCCAUCUAGAGCCACCACCUUGAGGACUGGAUGGACAGAAUUAACUUAAGGACCAAUCAGACUAGUUAAAGAGUUUUUCUCAGGGAGUACUAGAAGAUGUGCACCACCUAAAUGAGGGUAUCAAGUAGCAGGAGAGCAUCGUUUCCAAGAAUUAGAAAAUCCAUCAGAGGAGAGAGAGAAAAGAAAGUCCAAUGAUGACAGGUGCAAGUUUCCAUCAGCUGGAACAAGAGCAAGAGAGCAAAGGAUUCCAGAGGGUGAUAUCUGCAGGAAAACAGGUGGCAUUGGUAAUCUGAUGUGUUUGUGUGGUAAAUGGGGUUUAAAGGUAUUUGUUCAAUGGUGUUCCUUUUUCUUAAAAAAGAGUGUUUGGGAAGGCUUCCUAAUGUGUCAUAGAAAAAAAAUGAAGUAAUUGGUUUGUACAAAAAGUUGUGUAAGAAAAGAAAUUUGUCUCUCCAAUAAAAAUCCUUCCACAGCUAGAAUAUUUUUUAACGGAAGAAUACUUUUCUUUAUUACCAUCUUUCUAUUACAGCUUGAAGUAAUGAUGAAGGUGGAAACGGAAACAGGUAAAUAAUUAAUGCCUGACUUGCACUAAAUAUUAAUUCCUAAGGAAGGUCUGAAAACAGGCCUAUUGUCCCUAAUAUUUGUAUCUAUCUUAAGGGCAAAGGUAGGGUAAUUUUGCUGUUUAAAAACAUGAACUAUAUUAGGCUGGGCUAGUCUGAGAUAACAAACCAAUCCUGAAAUUUCAAUGGCUUAACACAUAGGGUUAACUUCUCUGUCAGCCUAUUUUGGGGGGCUCCUUUUCAAGGGAUUCCUUUCCCAGUUGUGAUGUAGGGAUCUAGAAACUUGUAUCUUGUAGCCUUGCCACCGGGAUAUGCAGUUUCCUGAUGGUUGUGGGAGAAGCAGAGAGCUGCAAAGCCACGUGCAGACUCAUUAAGUGCUUCGGCCUGAAAUGGCACACGUCACUAAUGCCUGCGGUCUAUCAGCCAGAUUGUGUGUCGAAGGCAAGAUCAAGAGCAGGGCCGGCUUCAUGAGUGUGUGAUCACUCAGGGCGCUGGGCUCAGAAGGGCCCUGUGUUUGUUUUAAUGCUCUGCUGUCACUGUCUUGACAUUCUUAAUAACUGUUGAACAAGGGGCCCUGCAUUUUCAUUCCACAAGUUAUGCAGCCAGUCCCAGUUACGAGCCAGGAGCCAGACCUGUGAGAGGCCUGGGAAAUAUACAGGGGGCACUGAGACUCCCAGGAGGCAGUGGCAUCUCAGUCAGAGAUCCUGCCAAUCAAGCCACAAUGCAGAGCCCUUCAUUUCCACCGUUAGGGCUCCAGCUCUUACGGCUCGUAGAACUCUUAGCUUCCCCAACAGUUUCAUCCCUAUUAGGUGAGAAGCAUUACGUAACAGCUCACGAAAUCUCAACGGGGUCUGCUCUGGUAUCCAGCCUCACAGCUAGAGUACUGAUUGGACAAAAACUUGUGAAAUGAAAAAAUCUUGAAGACAGAGGAAAGUGGAGGUAUGGGAUGGUAAGCGAAUACAGGAGUGCUAAAUCCUUAUCUUCUAUAGCAAGAGGUCGAGAGAUAAUGUUUCAUUGAUAGAUGGAGAAAGAACGGAAUUCAGCCAUUCAACAAAUACGUAACAGUGUCUGUCAUGUGCUAGGCAUCUUUGCAGGUGCUGAGGGAGAAACAGUAUAUGAUAAAAGAUCAAGAUCUCUGCCUUCAUAAAGCCUCUGCUACUUAGAAAUAUGGAGACACAUAGCAGAAGAAACGCUUAAAUAAAAGUGACUGACUCUGGGGAGGAAGGCUAAAGAAUGAGGAGGGGUAAUACAGGAGUAAAAAUGAAGACUUGUCGAGAAAAUGAUUGAAGGAGCGAAGAAUUAGACAUGGAUUAUGAGGAAUUUAGAAAUAAAAGUUUUAAGAAGUGUUUAAGUACUUCCCAUACGUGAGGCCAGGACACUCCAUAAAGCAUGGCUCAUGUUCUUUUGUAGUCUAUGAUGUUAGACUACUGGAAUAUCUAAGACAACACCUAGGCCAAGGCUAGGUAAGGAGAUUAAAAAAAAAUCAGGGCUGACACAGGCAGCUGAAAUCCUAACUCGGAAGACUCGGAAGCCUGGGAAGCACACUAGGAUUUAACCAUGGCUAAAGUUAAAACUAUUGCAGUCAUCUAAGAAAAUUUUGGAUGUUCCAGGUCCCUGUACCUAAGUGCCUAAUUAUAGAGAUAACAGGACUGAAAUUCAGGAAUGAAAUUUUGAUUAAAUUCUGAUAUACCUUUUACUACAACACACACACACACACACACACAC